rnacentral:rRNA from 1 species
CUAGAGUUUGAUCAUGGCUCAGAGCGAACGCUGGCGGCAGGCUUAACACAUGCAAGUCGAACGGGCGUAGCAAUACGUCAGUGGCAGACGGGUGAGUAACGCGUGGGAACAUACCUUUUGGUUCGGAACAACACAGGGAAACUUGUGCUAAUACCGGAUAAGCCCUUACGGGGAAAGAUUUAUCGCCGAAAGAUUGGCCCGCGUCUGAUUAGCUUGUUGGUGAGGUAAUGGCUCACCAAGGCGACGAUCAGUAGCUGGUCUGAGAGGAUGAUCAGCCACAUUGGGACUGAGACACGGCCCAAACUCCUACGGGAGGCAGCAGUGGGGAAUAUUGGGCAAUGGGCGAAAGCCUGAUCCAGCCAUGCCGCGUGAGUGAUGAAGGCCCUAGGGUUGUAAAGCUCUUUUGUGCGGGAAGAUAAUGACGGUACCGCAAGAAUAAGCCCCGGCUAACUUCGUGCCAGCAGCCGCGGUAGCCCAAUCGCC